rnacentral:lncRNA from 1 species
UGUGUGUGUGUGGAAACACCCUCAUAGUACAAUAGAGGAUGGAUCUGAAGUCAUUAUCACCUUCAUUAAUUGUGUGUGUUUGAGCAUGUAAAGUAGGCAUGGAAACACCCUGGAAUUUACUAGUGACCCAAUUUUGUGUGUGCACCUUGGUCUCAGUGAUGCCAGAAGGCAAAAGGAAGUGUGAUACCGGGGGACAAAAGGGUUAUGGAAUUAUGCAUCCUUGGAAAUAUUGAACCUGUGGUUGGCAUUUGUAUGAUGUAUGAUGCUCUAAAGACAAAAUAACCAUUGUUUGCUAAAUAUAACCAGAAACCCUCAGAGACAAAUUCCUGGUUCUUAAAAUUCACAGCCAUGAUUUAUGUUUGUUGAAGGAAAUGAACUCUCUGUCCAUGUCCCUAUGCUGACAACUGUCUCCAGUCACUACAGAGGAAUUACUAACAUGAAACAUUGCAGUUGGCCAGAUAGAGCUGUUUUAACUCAUCUGUUUUAGAUGCUAUAGUUCUUCUAAAUGGUACAGAGAACCAAUUCAAGAAGCUACCAUCCCAACUCCACAUGGGGGAAUUGAGUCUGCUUGCCCAUUACCUGCACUCGACCUGGAAAGCUACUGAGGAUGGGAGCUGACUCUAUGGCCACUCCUACAGUAUCUGUCAUACUGUAUAUUUAAUCUGAGUCUAGAGGAAGGUAUUUCUCCUCAGGCCUGGAGGGAAGCCAAAGUCAUUCCGCUACUGUAACGAUCGUCUGGAAGAGGGGACCAAGAUGCAGCGUGAUGGAGUCUAAAAGGAGGAAGUGAAACUCAUCCACUCAGCGACUGUUUCUCAACAUUCCACUGCACUUUCAGAAGUGAAGCAAGGCCCACCUCAAGAGGGCACAGAAUACAAUCUGUCAUGAUUAACAUCACAGGUUCACUGAGAAACUGAAUCCAUCAACACAGCACCUUUUGUUUAGUCACAAUGGCUCGUAUCCGCAAGUUUGAAGUGUUUCAGAGUAGAAGUGCUGAUAUGCGAUCAGAUGUCCCUUUUACAUCAUAAUGAAUAAGAUAAUAUUGACUGAGGAGACCUGAUCCUAGAUCUGCAAACCCACUCAGACUUUUUGUGAAUACUGGCCAGUAUGAUCACAACACAUCCUAACAGAACAGAUCUGAACCUAACCUUGUCCUCUGGUAACCCCAAUUGGCAUCCAUAUCUAUCAUGAAGUGUGAUGCUGACUGAGUAUUUUGUUCUUGUAACUGCCUUGGUUUCUUUGUGCCAUUCUAAAGUAUCCCAAGAUGAUUGUGGGUCUCAUGACCUAAUGGACCUAGGUUGUAGGAAAACUCUGAAUGAAGUGAAAAUACCUUAGUCUACUAUGGUAUUCAGUGAUCCUAGUGUAUUGUGAUACACUGAAUGCAGAUGAGUAGUUAUUGUUUGGGAUUUCUUACUGAGAUUACUGGUCAAUUUGUUUGGGGGGGGAUUUAAAAACAAUCAGUAAUGAAACUUUCAGAUGAAGUUUGAGUCAAUUAAAAAAUUUCAAUUGCUUUCAUCAGCUUAUUUUCUCACUUCCAUGUGUUUAAGACAAGGGUUUUGCUAUCUGCAAAGAAUAUUUCCAAGAAGAAAUCCAGUAGCUUUAUUUUCAAGAUGCUUAUUUCUUCUUAACAAUUUUCCGAGGAAGAAACUUAAGAACAUUUUCAAGAACGUUAUUGAGGAAUAGCAACUUUUUGUAUGUUUCUUCAGUACAAAGUUAAGGAAAUAAUUGCACUUAAGAAUACACUUCUUUUUAAGAUGGUUUUGUGAAUCCGGGCCCAGGUCUCAGACAUACUGUAGACCUCUUACUCAGAACUGUAGCAGGGUUGGAUAGAGUGUUAGACUCUAUAGUCAGAUGCAAUUAUUUUAUAAAGCAUUAUGAUGAUCAAUGGUCUCAUUGAGGAUUAAUAAAUGUGGUUAGGAG